CCGGCUGGGGAGCGGAACGGCAUGGGAGGGCCGGCCGCAGCGGGUGACAGCCCCGUACGCGAACCCAGACCGGACGGCGCGACGCGGUCCCUGAGUAGGGCCGGGCACGUGAAACCCGGUCCGAACCUGGGUGGACCACCAUCCAAGCCUGAGUACUACCCUGUGACCGAUAGCGCACCAGUACCGUGAGGGAAAGGUGAAAAGCACCCCGGGAGGGGAGUGAAACAGUACCUGAAACCGUGCGCCCACGAGCAGUCGGAGCACCUUUAUGGUGUGACGGCGUGCCUUUUGUAGAAUGAGCCAGCGAGUCGCUGGCGCGGGGCGAGGUUAACCGAAAGGGAGCCGGAGCGAAAGCGAGCCUUAACAGGGCGACUUGAGUCCCGCGCCGCGGACGCGAAGCCGGGUGAGCUAUCCGUGGGCAGGCUGAAGCGGGGGUAAGACCCCGUGGAGGGCCGAACGCACGUCGGUUGAAAACGGCGGCGAUGACCUGCGGAUAGGGGUGAAAGGCCAAUCAAACCCGGAGAUAUCUCGUUCUCCCCGAAAUAGCUUUAGGGCUAGCGUCGCGCGUUCACCGCCGGAGGUAGAGCACCGGAUGGACGAGGGGGCUUCGCCGCCUACCGAAUCCAACCGAACUCCGAAUGCCGGCGGCCCAGAGCGCGGCAGUCAGAGCAUGUGGGCUAAGCUGUGUGCUCGAGAGGGAAACAGCCCGGACCGCCCGCUAAGGUCCCCAAGUUCCAGCCGAGUGGCAAAGGAUGUGCGUCCGCCCAGACAACCAGGAUGUUGGCUUAGAAGCAGCCAUCCAUUCAAAGAGUGCGUAACAGCUCACUGGUCGAGUGGACAUGCGCCGACAAUACACGGGGCUAAGCUGGACACCGAAGCGGCGGGAUUUUGAUUUUCAGAAUCGGUAGGGGAGCUUCCCAUGGGCGGAGAAGCCGGAGGGCGACCGACGGUGGAGCGCAUGGGAGUGAGAAUGCUGGCAUGAGUAGCGAGAGACGAGAGAGUAACUCGUCCGCCGUGAACCCGAGGUUUCCUGGGCAAGGCUAAUCCUCCCAGGGUCAGUCGGGGGCUAAGGCGAGGCCGGUAGGCUUAGCCGACGCGCAGCAGGCAGACAUUCCUGCACCGCGCACGCGGCGCUACGACCGACGGGGCGACGGAUGGGGGUGGCUCGGCGGGGUUCUGGACGUCCCCGUGAUGGAGCGCGGCCCGCGGACCAGGGAAAUCCGGUCCGCAUUGAGGGCGAGGCUCCGGACGAAGCGAUUGAGCGAAGCGAGUGAGCCCGAGGUCCCUAGAAAAACCCCUAGGCAGGCGCGUGCGCGCCCGUACCGCAAACCGACACAGGUGGGUGGGUAGAACAUACCGAGGCGAUCGGGUCAACCAUGGUCAAGGAACUCGGCACAAUGGCCCCGUAACUUCGGGAGAAGGGGUGCCCGCGCGUACGUGAACGGACUUGCUCCGGGAGCGGAGGCGGGCCGCAGUGGAGAGGCCCAAGCGACUGUUUACCAAAAACACAGGACUCUGCAGAAGCCGCAAGGCGACGUAUAGGGUCUGACGCCUGCCCGGUGCCGGAAGGUCACGCGGAGGAGUUAGCGCAUCGCGCGAAGCCCCGAAGCCAAGCCCCGGUAAACGGCGGCCGUAACUAUAACGGUCCUAAGGUAGCGAAAUUCCUUGUCGGGUAAGUUCCGACCUGCACGAAAGGCGCAACGACUUGGGCGCUGUCUCGACCAUGGACCCGGUGAAAUUGCACUGGUCGUGAAGAUGCGACUUACCCGCGGAAGGACGGAAAGACCCCGUGAACCUUCACUGCAGCUUGGCAUUGGCCGCUGGUCCCGCGUGUAGAGGAUAGGCAGGAGGCAUCGAUCCGGAGGCGCCAGCCCCCGGGGAGCCGCCCUUGGAAUACUGCCCUCGCGCGACCGGCGUCCUAACCCGAGGCCGUCAACCGGCUCGGGGACCGUGCCAGGCGGGCAGUUUGACUGGGGCGGUCGCCUCCUAAAGGGUAACGGAGGCGCGCGAAGGUCCGCUCGGGACGGUCGGCAACCGUCCUUUUGAAUGCAAGAGUACAAGCGGGCUUGACUGCGAGGCCCACAAGCCGAGCAGGUGCGAAAGCAGGCUCUAGUGAUCCGGCGGCCCCGAGUGGGUGGGCCGUCGCUCAACGGAUAAAAGGUACUCCGGGGAUAACAG
rnacentral:rRNA from 1 species